GAUGAACGCUGGCGGCGUGCCUAAUACAUGCAAGUCGAGCGAAUGGAUUAAGAGCUUGCUCUUAUGAAGUUAGCGGCGGACGGGUGAGUAACACGUGGGUAACCUGCCCAUAAGACUGGGAUAACUCCGGGAAACCGGGGCUAAUACCGGAUAACAUUUUGAACCGCAUGGUUCGAAAUUGAAAGGCGGCUUCGGCUGUCACUUAUGGAUGGACCCGCGUCGCAUUAGCUAGUUGGUGAGGUAACGGCUCACCAAGGCAACGAUGCGUAGCCGACCUGAGAGGGUGAUCGGCCACACUGGGACUGAGACACGGCCCAGACUCCUACGGGAGGCAGCAGUAGGGAAUCUUCCGCAAUGGACGAAAGUCUGACGGAGCAACGCCGCGUGAGUGUUGAAGGCUUUCGGGUCGUAAAACUCUGUUGUUAGGGAAGAACAAGUGCUAGUUGAAUAAGCUGGCACCUUGACGGUACCUAACCAGAAAGCCACGGCUAACAACGUGCCAGCAGCCGCAGUAA
rnacentral:rRNA from 1 species